rnacentral:rRNA from 1 species
UACGGAGGGAGCAAGCGUUACUCGGAAUUAUUGGGCGUAAAGAGCUCGUAGGCGGUUUGUCGCGUCUGCCGUGAAAGCCCGGGGCUUAACUCCGAAACUGCAUUCGAUACUGCCGUGCUUGAGGACUGGAGAGGAGACUGGAAUUUACGGUGUAGCGGUGAAAUGCGUAGAUAUCGUAAGGAAGACCAGUGGCGAAGGCGGGUCUCUGGACAGUUCCUGACGCUGAGGCACGAAGGCCAGGGGAGCAAACGGG